GGGGCUGUGCGAUGGAUCGCACCUCUGGCCAUGGACCCCGAGGAUUCGGGUUCGAUUCCCGACAGCUCCACCA
rnacentral:tRNA from 1 species